rnacentral:lncRNA from 1 species
AUAAUGGAAUUUAAGUUAAUAGACUUAAAUUCAGUUAUCGCUGGGGCCUCUGUCAGAUAGUGUUUCCUAUUUUUGCUUUACCAAUAUGAGUGACGUAAUAUCAUGUGAUGUAAUUAAGUCUUUUACAGAAAUUCCAAGGAAGCCGGCUGUAUAUUUUAAAGUGUUAGCGGAAAAUUUGUAAAAAGCUAUCUUUAAUUCUAAAGUAGGGUUAGUAUGGUAUUGUUGAUGUGUUUCAUGCAUCCAAUAUCGUUUAGCAUUGAAUUUCAUUAUAAAGUUUGGUUUCUUUUACCAAUUUUGGAUAUUCCAAAUUAUCGCCACGUGGCGAACACAUGCGGC